AGGAGGCGUGCGAGGCAGGAGCACUGUGGUUAGGGAGGGAUUUGAGGAGAGGGCUGGCCACGAAGCAGCCUCCAGCAGAAGAGCGCAUUGAACCUCAGGAAAACUUGUCAGUGAGAACCUGAGAUGAUCACAAGAGACAAAGGAGCCUCCUCGCCC
rnacentral:lncRNA from 1 species